rnacentral:misc_RNA from 1 species
UACGUAGGGGGCGAGCGUUAUCCGGAAUUAUUGGGCGUAAAGCGCAUGCAGGCGGUUUGCCAAGUUCAUGCUGACAGUCACCGGCUUACCCGGUGAAGGUGUAGGAAAACUGGCAGGCUUGAGAGCGAGAGAGGGACAUGGAAUUCCAGGUGGAGCAGUGAAAUGCGUAGAGAUCUGGAGGAACACCAAGGCGAAGGCAGUGUCCUGGCUCGUUUCUGACGCUGAGGUGCGAAAGCCAGGGGAGCGAACGGG